rnacentral:rRNA from 1 species
CCUACGGGAGUCAGUAGUGAGGAAUAUUGGUCAAUGGGCGCGAGCCUGAACCAGCCAAGUAGCGUGAAGGAUGACUGCCCUACGGGUUGUAAACUUCUUUUAUAAAGGAAUAAAGUGAGGCACGUGUGCCUUUUUGUAUGUACUUUAUGAAUAAGGAUCGGCUAACUCCGUGCCAGCCGCCGCUGUAAUCCGGAGGAUCCGAUCGUUAUCCGGAUUUAUUGGGUUUAAGGGGAGCGUAGAUGGGUUGUUAAGUCAGUUGUGAAAGUUUGCGGCUCAACCGUAAAAGUGCAAUUGAUACUGGCAGCCGUGAGUACAGUUGAGGUAGGCGGAAUGCGUGGUGUAGCGGUGAAAUGCUUAGAUAUCACGAAGAACUCCGAUUGCGAAGGCAGCUUACUAAACUGCCACUGACAUUGAUGCUCGAAAGUGUGGGUAUCAAACAGGAUUAGAUACCCUUGUAGUC